CCUGCCCAUUGAAUUUUAAAAGGCCGCGGUAUUUUGACUGUGCAAAGGUAGCAUAAUAAUUAGCUUUUUAAUUAAGAGCUUGUAUGAAGGGUUGGACAAAGAAAAAACUGUCUUUAAUUUUAAAUUUGAAUUUAACUUUUAAGUGAAAAGGCUUAAAUUGUUUUAAGGGAAGAUAAGACCCUAUAAAUCUUUAUAUAUUAUUUGCCUUUUUUAGGUAGGUGUAAAAAAAUUAAGAAGAAAAAUGUAUUAUGUUGGGGUGACGAAGAUGUAAAGUAGAAAAAUUGUCUUAAAUUACAUACAAAUAUAUUUGGUUACAGUAAAAGAUCCUUUAAGUAGAGAUUAAAAGUUCAAGUUACUUUAGGGAUAACAGCGUAAUUCUUCUUGAGAGUUCAUAUCGAAAGAAAAGUUUGCGACCUCGAUGUUGAAUUAAAAUUUCCUUAUGUUGCAGCAGGCAUAAAGGAGAGUCUGUUCGAC
rnacentral:rRNA from 1 species